AUUGAACGCUGGCGGCAGGCCUAACACAUGCAAGUCGAACGCGUGGCAGACGGGUGAGUAAUGUCUGGGAAACUGCCUGAUGGAGGGGGAUAACUACUGGAAACGGUCGCUAAUACCGCAUACCAUCAGAUGUGCCCAGAUGGGAUUCGCUUGUUGGGGGGGUAACGGCUCACCAAGGCGACGAUCCCUAGCUGGUCUGAGAGGAUGAACAGCCACACUGGAACUGAGACACGGUCCAGACUCCUACGGUAGGCAGCAGUGGGGAAUAUUGCACAAUGGGCGCAAGCCUGAUGCAGCCAUGCCGCGUGUAUGAAGAAGGCCCUAGGGUUGUAAAGUACUUUCAGCCGGGAGGCGUUACCGGCAGAAGAAGCACCGGCUAACUCCGUGCCAGCAGCCGCGGUAAUUC
rnacentral:rRNA from 1 species